AUUCCCCUAGUAACUGCGAGUGAAGCGGGAAAAGCUCAAAUUUAAAAUCUGGUGGUCUUUGGCCAUCCGAGUUGUAAUUUAGAGAAGCGUCUUCCGCGCUGGACCGUGCACAAGUCUCCUGGAAUGGAGCGUCAUAGAGGGUGAGAAUCCCGUCUUUGGCACGGAUGUACCAGGGCUUUUGUGAUGCGCUCUCGAAGAGUCGAGUUGUUUGGGAAUGCAGCUCAAAAUGGGUGGUGAACUCCAUCUAAAGCUAAAUAUUGGCGAGAGACCGAUAGCGAACAAGUACCGUGAGGGAAAGAUGAAAAGCACUUUGGAAAGAGAGUGAAACAGUACGUGAAAUUGUUGAAAGGGAAACGCUUGAAGUCAGUCGCGUCGACCGAGACUCAGCCUUGCCUCGGCUUGGUGUACUUCUCGGCUGACGGGUCAGCAUCAAUUUUGCCUCUUGGAUAAUGGCGGGGGAAAUGUGACACCUUUACGGUGUGUUAUAGUCUCUCGUCGCAUGCAAGGGUCGGGAUUGAGGAACUCAGCACGCGCCCUCGGGCGUCGGGGCUUUGCCCACGAUACGUGCUUAGGAUGUUGGCGUAAUGGCUUUAAACGACCCGUCUUGAAACACGGACCAAGGAGUCUAACAUGCCUGCGAGUGUUCGGGUGGAAAACCCGUGCGCGCAAUGAAAGUGAAAGUUGGGACCUCUGUCGUGGAGGGCACCGACGCCCGGACCAGACCUUCUGUGACGGCUCUGCGGUAGAGCAUGUAUGUUAGGACCCGAAAGAUGGUGAACUAUGCCUGAAUAGGGUGAAGCCAGAGGAAACUCUGGUGGAGGCUCGUAGCGAUUCUGACGUGCAAAUCGAUCGUCAAAUUUGGGUAUAGGGGCGAAAGAC
rnacentral:rRNA from 1 species